CAGUUUUAAGUUGGCUGUAAACUUGUUGGGUGUGAGGCGGCGACUGUGUGCAGGACUGACAGAUUAUAGACAAUGGUUGAGGUCGCCGGGGUGAAGGGGGCGAUGUCUCCAAGAUCUGUUCGGCAAACAUCAAGUACUAUGAAUGGAGACGUAGCUUCACCUGUGAGUGAAGUAAAAGAGUUGAACUCCAACGGUGAGGAACAGGUCCUGCACAAUAUAUAUCUUCGCGAGAAAUUUAAAGACUUCCAAAAAUCUUUGGAAAAUGAGUUCAGCAACAUGAUUGAUAAACGUCUGGGAGACUUUGAGGAGGAGAACCUUCCUGUAGCAGAGUGUUUGGUCAGAAGCACUUCAGCUUCCUUCACUUCUGCACUCACAAGAUCACAUAGUAGAUGUAAAGAAUCAAAAAAGCCUGGCGAACUUCCGUGUCGUAUGUACGUACCCCGUCCAUCAUUGUUGAAGGAGUUACUGGCUAUCAACCACAUGGAGAGCAUCUAUAACAUCUUUGUGGCCAUUCUUGUUCUACUCUUCUUCAACAAAGUCUUAGAAGAAAUUGUACACACUGGCAGCCCAAAUUUAGAUCUUUCACUUAUAAUCUGGGCCUUUGGUGGACUGGACAGGGUCAUUGUUAUAUGGGUGUGCAUGUUUACAAGCACAUCAGUCCUGGUUUACCUAAGUUUCCAUCACUGGGCACACUACAGACAUAAUAUGCCAGCUGUAUAUGAUUCAGUGGGAGGGAUCAUUUACAUCGCUUACUUAAGUCUGUUCCUCUACUUGCCUCUACAAAGUCUUCUUUACCAUGAACUUCCUCCUGCUUCAUCCUUCAUUAUCCUAUGUGAACAGGUGAGAAUGUUCAUGAAAACUUGGGCAUUCGUCAGAAGUAACCUCAACCGAGCAAUCAAGUACAAGAAAAAUGAUGAUUGUCAAGCAGGAAAUCUUUGUCCUGAUUUUUCAUAUUAUUUGUAUUUCCUCUUUGCACCAACAUUGGUUUAUAGAGAUGAAUACCCGAGAAACGAAACUUGCGAUUGGCAGCAAGUGUUCAACGACUUGAGUCAGGUUAUUGGCUGCUUAUUCUAUACACACUUUCUGUUUGUGCGAUUUUGUGUACCUGUCUUCCAGAAGUUUGGACAGGAGUCCUUCACUGCGACAAAUCUGUUGGUGGCUGUGUUCUCUUGCAUGUUCCCUGGUUCACUUGUUCUUCUGUGUGGGUUCUUUGCCAUUCUUCAUGCCUGGCUGAAUGCAUUUGGAGAGAUAAUGCGGUUUGCUGACAGAAUGUUCUAUAAGGACUGGUGGAACUCAACAUCAUAUGCUCGAUUCUACCGCACUUGGAAUUGUGUAGUGCAUGAUUGGUUGUAUGAGUAUGUAUAUAGGGACAUCGUUGCAUGGCAGUUGCUUUUAUGUUUGUGAACAGUAAAGCUCGCCAGUUCAACAUCUUCCUCUGGGUCACGCUGAUAUUUGGAACAGGCGUUUUAAUGUGCUUAUACAGCAUGGAGUGGUAUGCCCGCAUUAACUGUCCACCUGUUUAUGAAGGAUACCUCGACUAUCUCGUACCACGAAGUUUAGCCUGUGAAUUUUCUUCUUAGGAUUAAGAAGAGAAAUACUGUACUAUUUUAUAUAGGAAAUAGAUAACAGGUAUUUAAAUAUACAUGCAGUAUUAUGUAUGCAUUUUAACUUUAUACCAAGACCUAGCAACUCUGUAUAACCAGCACAACUCAGGGGUUGAAUCUCAGGCUCCAGGAACCUAACUUGUGACUGGAAUCCAGGGCCGGUAUACACAAAACUUUUAAGUGCUAGCAAACAGUUGUUAAGGCUGACAUUUUCCUGUUAAUCACUAAUAGUACAUACACAAAACUUUUAAGGGCCUUAAUAGAACUGUUAGGUUAAAAGACAUCUGGAGCACUUUUAAGUCCCGUAAUAGUCGUCUGUUAGUUGAUACCAUGGUGAACCAACAACAAAAUCAGCGGCGGCAACGCAUUUAUCGGGAAAGGAGAAAUAUAUUUAAUGAAUAUAGUGUGAAUAUAUUGUGUGUAAACCCUUUAUAGCAGAGAUUUUCUUUCUUGACUUAGACAAUACUGAGAAUCGGAGUGUCUCACACUCUGCCACCGAUCACACCACACCAGGAAAUGCAGCAUUGGCUCUCAUGGUGAUUUCCAGCCAUGCCCUCUUUGGUUAUUUUUUGUGAACCAUCCAUCACCUUUUUUCACAUGAAAAAUUAUUUUUUUUUUUUAUGGUUUUCUUGCUGUUUUAGAUGAUCCUGACAUUUAUCUUUGGGGCAAAUCACUUUUUUUUUAGUUAGGUUAGGUUAGGAAGUUGGGACAUGGCAUGUUAGGUCAGGUAACCAAACCUAACUUUUUAUUAGUUAGGUUACGAUGUAACCUGUUAGAUCAGGUAACAUUACCUAACUUUUUUUUUAGUUAGGUUAGGUUACCUGACCUAACAGGCCAUGUCCUAACCUAAGCUAGCCUAACUUAACUAAAAGAAGUGAUUUGCCCCAAGACAAAUGUCAGAGUCAUCUAAAACGGCAAGAAAACUAGCGAAAAAAACAUAUUUUUCAAGUAAAAAAAGGUUUGGGUGGUUAACGAAAUGAGAGCGACGCUGCGUGUCACCAUAACAUCAAAUUGGGACUUAGAAAAAUUUGUGUUCUUGCAACUAAUAAAUUGCGUUUAUUUUUGGUAUGCUCCGCUUAAUUCAAGUAUAUUCUUUCAUUCCUCGGUGAUAUCUACUUAAUGGUAAGAACAAAAUCGUAAGAAGGUGAUGGGUUGAUAACGAAAAAUAACCUCCUCUUUUUGUCUUUAUUAUUCAGGAAAGUCUUCAAGCAGCCAUUCAAUAUUAACUUUUUCUCUUCAGUGGCAUCCACCAAUAAUAAAGUCUGGUCUGCUAUCCAGCUGAACUUCCUUUUCCUUCAUGGGGUUGAGACUUCCAUUUCCUCAAUAACAUGUUUGUUUACAAACAGCACAGCAAGGAAAAGCCACCGAUCACUAUCCUUGGUUAAUAAAUCCUCCUUCAAAAGACAUUGAUUAGAUUUUUUUUUAUGAUCAAAAUGUAUAUAAAUGUAAAUAUUGCAAUUAAUCUUCAUAAUUUUAUUGAGAUUAUUCAGCCAUAAGACCAUUUUAUAUAAUGAACUCCUGCUAUCUUUAGUGUUGUUUAGCGGUAAUUAACAAACAACUACCGUAAGUUGCGGGGUAUAAGUCGACUUCAAGAUUUUUAGUUCAAAAUUCAGGUUUAGGCUUACACUUGCCAUAUAAGUCGACCCCCCCAAGGCCCAAACAUAGGCUAGGCUAGAACUGAAAUGUGGAUAUAGCCUAUGGCAAAAGUGUGUAAUAGGGCAUACCAGUAUAGCACCUGCAUAGCACCGCUAUAUACAGUAUGAUAUUAGAACAUUGUGGUACACCUGGCCUACUAUCCACCAUUUGCAUCAGCUGGUGUAAACGAACUGCCAGUGGAGCCACCAACACCAUGCGGCCAGCUACGAAACUAUGGGUCCAUUACACUGUUGGUAAUUUACUAAACCAUCGUGGCUUUAUGCUCUUCCUGGCAUCCACUCAUUACCCACACACCGCCUGGGUUUAGUGGCGUUCUGAUCGAUUGUUUACUGUGCAUCAGCUGUUGGAAAUGGCGUGUGGUGUUGUGUUCGUUUAAUUAUACUGGAAUUUACUAUUUUGUUAUAAUCUCUUAUGUUAAAUAAGUUUACCAAACAUGAAUUUUAGGAGGAAAUAUUAGCGGCAGGCCAUGGGAGUUACGCUAUGUGAUGCACAGUGAGUGUUAGGCAGGCUGUUCCACUUGUUUACCACUCUGUGGUAAAGCUUCACAUUUUAUACUCGGCGUAUAAGUAGACCUCUGGUUUUGGAGAGAUUUUUUCAAGUUUAAAAUGUUGACUUACACUCCGCAACUUACGGUAUUUGUGCGGUAAAAGUUUGCUAGUUAAGCUUUGUAUAUAACUUUUAAAUUUUACUGCUAGCUAACAGUACCAUUAUGUCAUUAGCAUAAAAGUUUUGUGUAUACAGGCCCAGAAAUUUAAUAGUUUCACAUAUUAGACCAUCCUUCACUUAUAACAUAAAGAUGAUAACAGGAGAUACCAUUUAUGUUCAAGUACAGUUUGAGUUUUUGUGGUCAGAUUUUUAUGAAAAAAGUAGGGUGUCGAACUAUAUACACACUAUUUUGGGUGGGUAAAAUUCAUGCAUUUCCGUGGAUUAUUUAUGGUGAAUGAUAGCUACCAGUAAGUUCCUUUAUCCUGGGCUUGCCUACCAUACCCCUAGAUUCUUUCUUUAUGUUGCUAUAUAAAGAGCAAAACCUCAUUCACUAUAUAUGCCACUUUAAAUCUGCAAAUACAUGAUAGAAAUGAAGAUUUACAGAUAAUUCUCUUCAUUUGCAUGUGUUAACAUCGCUUGUGGCAUUGUGGCCAAGUUAGACGUGUCGCUGCAACCACAUCCCUCUAGCCCUCUUGCUACCAGGUGGAGCUGUGAGGUGUUAUGGUUAUUUUCAACUUGUAAUUUUGGGUCAAUAUACAUGACUUCUUUUUUUUUUUUUUUACUCAUUUACAUGUACAAUCAAUCCUAUAUUCAUAUUGUGCAAAAAAAGUAAAAGAAAUAAUUGUACAGUAUAAAGGUCAAAUACGUAAAGGGAAUAAACAUUUCUUUGCGCAUGAGGGUUAAGCAUGCUGAGCAGGAGUGGGAGAAGGGAGCGGUGUGUGGGGGGACCCAUUGCUAAGGAGUCGGCAGAGGCCCAGCUGGGCUACGUUGCUAUGGCGAGCGUUGAGGCCAACAGCCAGUGUUAUGCAAAUGGCGGUUGUGUUAAACUUUCACUUGGUUUUUCCUUAACCUUAUGCCCCAGGCUAGGGUGGCGUUGGCCAUACCCCCCACGCAGGGGUAAAACAAGAAAAAAUCGACUUUUCCAAAAAUAAUAUUUAACCUUUAUAAAUGAUAAAGCAAUCAAAAAGAUGUAAGAAAAACUAUAUAUUGUCCCUCUAGAAACUUCAGUGGCACCUCAGUAAUGAGGGAAAUAAGGGGAAAGAUUUUUUGAUGGCGAGCGCUCGCGGUCACAAUUCACAUAGGGGUCAUUUUUCUGCUUGCCUUUGUGUCCGAGAUGGCCAUUAAUGCAUAUAUUUACUGGUUAUAAUGUACUUAUUUCCUAUAAAUAAUUCAUUUUAUUUGCAUUACUUUUCAUAAAAAGUGCUCGGCGACACACACAAUCUGUCGCCAGGCUGUCUUUGUGUUUGGGAGAGCAAUUACGUCAUAAAUAAUGAUCGGAAUAAUAAUUCCACAAAUAAAUACAUUUAUCACAUAAUUAUAGCAUUAUCAUCUAGUAAUACUACACUACUUUUAGUAAUAUUACUUUGAUACAACAUGAAAAAUGGACAAACAAUGAAAAAUAAACAAACACAAGAAGGUACUUACCAAGAAGCUUCCCUCUGACUGUACGUAGGAGAGGUGGUGGUGUUGGUGCUACCCUGACGCCUCGUAUCGCUUGUGGGUAGUGGCAAGUGACUGCAUACAACUGUGUACCUUUUACACAAAUAUCACUUUGUACCUUACAAAUACACUUCCACUACUAUUUACAAUCAUUCCUCACGUGCCACAUUGUUUUAGAACGUUUUCUUCGUGUGGUACUCCAUAAAGCAAGGUGCACAGAGACCAACGCCGCGCUCCUUGCACUACGUCGUCACGUCCUUACACUUAUCCGGGCGCUUUGUGGUGUUCCUGCAGACGUAGCACCGCCUUUGCAUCUUACAACCACUUGGAAGAGUCGGAAGGUCGUCAAGGAAGUGACGAGCAGCCCAGACACGUGCAAGGAGUCUGUCAGGGAGUCUUGCUUGGCUUCAACGUCGUCGUACAGCUGGCACAAUGUUGCCAUAUUUCUCCAGGACUUGACUCAUCACUUGCUUCUGAAAAACCCUGAGAGAGGGCUUUUCCCGGAUACAAUGUGUACGCAUUCAGGAUGAUGUUCAAGAGGUGUAGGGACAUCAUCUUAUACCACUUGACACAUUUCUGUACACACUCAAUUGCGCCAACCUGCAUGUCACUCUUGUCCACGAGGCGCAUGUUCACAUUGUAGUCCACGACAGCGUCAAGUUUUUUCAUUACCUCUUCCGUUGUCCAGUCCCUUUUGCCACUGUCCACCAUUUUGCCCUUGUGAAGGGUUGACAGCAUCUGCACAGUACGCUUAUCAUGCCAACGCAUUGCAAGCAACUUGUCUGCUUGUUUCAGCUGGAUGUCUCCUCGUGCAGGUUUACCAGGAAACACGGACCAGUGUUUCCUGUUCUUACGUACUGUCCCACAAGAACUGAUGUCAUGUUCAAGUAGGAACUUGGCCAGGGCAGGAGAGGUAUAAAAAUUGUCCUUGUAGAGGACGUGAUUCCCUCCAAAGUAGCGGUCCAUAAGUUUCUUGACAACAGCGCGAGAGAAACCAUGUGGGUCAUCCUUGGGUAUGUCUAUGUCACUUGCUGUGUAAACUACGAGAUCUAAGACAUACCCAGUCUCGCAACCACACAGCACAAAGAACUUUAUCCCAAAGCGAUUUCGUUUGGAGGGAAUGUAUUGUCUUAAAAACAAGACGUCCUCUGAAAAGCACCAGAGACUCGUCCACCACUACAUUCUGGGAGGGUUUGAAGAACUUCAUGAAUCGUUCCUUCAGCAUCGUAAAAACUGUCCUUAUUUUCCAGAGUUGGUCACUAGCCACAGGGUUGUUGUUGUCCACGAAAUGUAGAUAACACAGGAUGGAGGCAAACCGGUCUCUUGACAUGAAUUUCAAAAACAAUGGAGUUGCUGUCAUGUCAUCGUGAGAUAUCCAAUACUCCUGAAGUACGUGUUUCUUCACAUGUGCCAUUAGCAUUAGUAAUACAAAAAUCAGUCCAGCGGUGCAAUUUUGGCAAGGAGCCAGGUCCUGGGUCGGCAUCACACGUAUACUGAUAAAAUUUAUUUGUUUCAGUAUACAGUUAGUCCAUGCAUGCACCAUCAAAGAAGGCACAAAGUAGUCCAUCUCACUUGAUUCCUUUGUACAAGGAAAUUCAGGAGUAAUUCCACCUAAUGAGCAUCAGAAAUCAGGGAUGUCAGGCUGGAAAUUACUGCCAUCAGACCAAACAAAAGCAUUCAUUGUCCCUUGUCUGGGCUGUGACCGCGUGGUGGGCCUAUGCCACACUGGCUGUGCCUUGCUGCCACCCUCAUCACUUGUCCCUAAAACAUUGUGUAACUCGACACUAUCCUCAGGAUCACAAGGCAUAUAAUCACUGCCUUCAUCACCACUUUCACCAGAAUCGCACAAUACAGCACUCGCAUCAAAUAGCUCUGUCCGUAUCUCACUAUCAUCCAACCCGCGGCAUCGACGCUCGAUCGGGUGGACGCUGCUAGCGACCGAACACGGGAGGUUGAGGGGCGACUCUCCAUGACAGACAAAUAGUCAUGCUGGAACCUGUUAACCCGCGAUGGGCAUUCAAACAGUGGCGGGGUGAUCAUCAUAAACAAAACCAGAUUGAUUUGUUCAUGUUCAUGCAUGCCAACAAAAACUCUAGUCUUCUUCCAUUUUAGGGUACAUUACCUUCAUGUUAGUGUCUCUUAUGGAAAUCCAGUAAUGAAGGUGAAGGAUUAAUUGUAUUUUCAGAUUUAUUCAAUUUCUUGGGCCUGGUGAUUCAAUUCCUGUGACUUGCUAGCUCUACAGAGUUGCUCAUUCCCAGAUCAUAUAUAUAAAAUGGGAUUUCAGAAUCAAUCCAUAAUUUUUCCAUUUUUCUUUUCAUUUACUCUCCUGAGUUUCUUACUGACAAUAUUUAUUACAGUUUGUGUCUGUUGAAAUAUAUAGACAGCAUCACCAUUUUAGACAUUCCUGUGUUUUAUAAGGUUUUGUUGUUGCUGAUUAUUAUAAAUGCAUCUUGGGUGUCAGCCUGUAUGAAAAUCUUUAACAAGUAAUGUUUUACAAACUGCAAAAAUAUGAUGACAAUUUUGAAUCCUUGGUUUUUCCCAUAAAUUGACAGAUACAAAAAAAAACAAGUUCUGUUAUAAUAUAUAAGCUAAGGCAAUCCAAAUAAACGGUCGUAAAUUAUGCAAAAUUUGUAUUAAGGGUCCAAGAUCAAAUACUGUACAAAAGAAAUGAACAUUAUCAAAGGCCAUUAUGAGAAUGUAUUGUGUGAAACUGACAUCAUUCUUCUGUCAGGAAAAUGUAGUUGAGUUUGAAUGUUUUCUACAUUAUCUAAUUUUAUGCAUAUUUAAUAUUACCACAGGGUGAAAUUUUUAGUUUGCCCAUCAAAUCACAAUUAAGAAUUAUAUUUGUUUAACUAAGACCAUGGACACUAACUAUAUUAUGUUAAAUACAGUGAUAUCCCCAUUAGCCGCAACAAUUGGUGCAGAGCACUUCCGGGGAAGAGAGAUUUCCGGGUAACCAGACAACUUUCUCAAACCCGGAAAUAUUUCCAGUUUUACUGGAAAAACUUUCCGAGUGUCUAAACUAUGCAUCUUGCACAGACAAACACUAGCCCACAUCCUCAUAAUGUUUCUGUGUGCUGGGGAGCUUUCCAAAAGUCUAAGCUAAAGAUCUAUAUGAUAUGGUCGUGAAUGAAACUAUGUGUUAGAGCAAAGACUAUUUUUUUCGCCCCCUUGGAGCUGUGGGGGAUUAGUGGAUCUCGUGUAACUGACCUGACCUGACACUAUGUCAGGUGGAGGUAGGGUGGGGUAUUGGUGGUCUCAUAUU
rnacentral:misc_RNA from 1 species